AUUAUUGGACAAUGGGGGCAACCCUGAUCCAGCCAUGCCGCGUGGUUGAAGAAGGUCUUCGGAUUUUAAAGCACUUUAAGUUGGGAGGAAGGGCUUUAGGUUAAUACCCUGAAGUUUUGACGUUACCAACUGAAUAAGCACCGGCUAACUCUGUGCUAGUAGCCGCGGUAAUCCAGAGGGUGCAAGCGUUAAUCGGAAUUACUGGGGCUAAAGCUCGCGUAGGUGGUUCAGUAAGAUGGGUGUGAAAUCCCCGGGCUUAACCUGGGAACUGCUUUCAUAACUGCUGAGCUAGAGUACGGUAGAGGGUAGUGGAAUUUCCUGUGUAGCGGUGAAAUGCGUAGAUAUAGGAAGGAACACCAGUGGCGAAGGCGACUACCUGGACUGAUACUGACACUGAGGUGCGAAAGCGUGGGGAGCAAAC
rnacentral:rRNA from 1 species